rnacentral:rRNA from 1 species
CCCUUAGAUGUUCUGGGCCGCACGCGCGCUACACUGACGGAGGCAGCGAGCGUGUCCUUCGCCGGCAGGUGCGGGCAAUCUUGCGAGUCUCCGUCGUGCUGGGGAUAGAUGGUUGCAAUUGUCGAUCUUGAACGAGGAAUUCCUAGUAAGCGCGAGUCAUCAGCUCGCGCUGAUUACGUCCCUGCCCUUUGUACACACCGCCCGUCGCUACUACAGAGUGCCCGUGUCCAAGAAACGGUCGGACCUGUGCGGCCUCUCCGGGCGACCGGAGGGCCGUUACGGGGAAGACCCUUUGUUUGACGCGGGUCGAUGAAGUAAAAGUCGUAACA